UCCCAUCCCGAAACCAGUCCACCAAACCCUAGUUUCCCUCCCUCGCGCCACCACCACCUCCCUCUCUCCUCUCCUUCCCUCGCGCCGCCGCGAGGUGCCAAUCGAUACGAGCCCGACGACGCGAGAUCCGCAGCCCAUCUUCCCCAUCUUCCUCUCCCUCUCUUUAGACGUUGUGCUCUCGCGGCAUCACAUCAAUCCAUGGCCAGAAACGCCAGAUCCGCCGUCCUGGCCGCGCGUUCCUGUGCCACAGUGAUGGGAGCUGCCGACUCCUCCGGCUGCGUGUUCAUCUUCAGCGUACGCAGGAGCAAGGUUCAGCCUGCCAUGGCCGCCGCACCCUGCUCGUGGACCACGAGCCUGGCAGCAUGGACCCGGUGCGCUCGAGGCUCUUCGGCCAGAUCUUCCGCCCCGACAACUUCGUCUUCAGCCAGUCCGGCGCCGGGAACAACUGGGCCAAGGGCCACUACACCGAGGGUGCUGAGCUCAUCGACUCCGUCUUGACGUCGUCUGCCAGGAGGUCGAGAACUGCGACUCUCUCCAGGUUGUCGGAGCCGUAGUCGAAGCAAGAGAGCGACAGUAAGUGCUAUUCAGAAAAACAUGAUAGAGAACCUUCUUUCGAAGGAGGUGGAGCAUAUUGGUUUACUGAUUUGAUGACUCUGAAUGAUCUUUACAUCCUCCCUGUGUUGACAUCAAUGGCAUACGCUGCGGAGAUCCACAAGCAAAGAGAGAGAGAGAGGCCAUUGUGGUAGCUCAUGGCCUCCCUGGCGCUAGAUACGUCUGCCCCGGCGUCGCUGCAGCUGGAGCUGCCUGCUUGAACUGAUUUAUGCCUCCCUGUAGAUGGAUGAUGUGGGGCCUGGAGGGGACGAUGACACAGCGAACUAUCUGCCCUGUCUACUUGGAUCUCUGAACAAGCGACGACGACAACCACAUCAGGUAAUGAGUGGUGUUCCUCUCUCUUACAAGAGCUCCAGGCUGAUGUUCAACGAAGCCAGUAGCCCCACCCAGCAAAAAUGAUGUACUUUCAGCUCUAGAUUUCAGAGCUAGCAGCAGUACUGUGAUUGAUUUUUUCAUUUGUUUGCCUUGUCCAUUUGAAAUAUUGGUUAUUUACUGUAAUAUUGAAAGAAACUUAAGCCUAUCAGCUUUUGAUUUA